rnacentral:sRNA from 1 species
AUUCUACCCAUGUGGGGAAGGAUGAGAAGCUUCGACUAAGGUUCGAUUCGAGCGCAGCGAGAAAGCGUUGCCGCAGGCAACGACCCGAAGGGCGAAGCGCGCAGCGCUGAGUCAUCCUUCCCCAUAGGCAG